AGCUCCAAUAGCGUAUAUUAAAGUUGUUGUGGUUAAAAAGCUCGUAGUUGGAUCUCGGCAGAUUUGGGGCGGUUUAGUUGCUACUAUUACUGCCCUAUAAUCUGUAGUUUUUGCCAGAGGUUUUAGGGUGCUCUUAAUCGAGUGUCCUGAGAUGCUGGCAGGUUUACUUUGAAAAAAUUAGAGUGCUUAAAGCAGGCUAGUACGCCUGAAUAUUCGUGCAUGGAAUAAUAAAAUAGGAAGUCGUUUCUAUUUUGUUGGUUUUCGGAAAUCGACUUAAUGAUUAAUAGGGACAGUCGGGGGCAUUUGUAUUCAAACGACAGAGGUGAAAUUCUUGGACCGUUUGAAGACAAACUACUGCGAAAGCAUUUGCCAAGAAUGUUUUCA
rnacentral:rRNA from 1 species